UCAAAACACGCGCCUUCGGCUCGCUGCACCCUGUCUUUGCGCACCGUAUUGUUUCCUCGGCGGGCUUGCCUGCCGGUUUGGACAUCAUAAAACCUUUGUAGUUGCAAUCAGCGUCAGAAAAACAAUAAUUAUUA
rnacentral:misc_RNA from 1 species